AUGGGGUGAGAGCCUUGUGAUCUUUUGCCUUCUUACUGUGAGUACACUUUUUUUCCCCUAGUGGCCAGCAGGGUGCGUGGAAAACUGCCUUCCUGUGCAAUUUCACAUACAACUUGAGAUGAUUCCAUCCUGAGCUCAAACUGAUGUCUCAGCUGGUCUGAGUUAACCGCCGAAGCACAUGGAAAACCACUGUCACGGGACUGGUAAUACGCUCGGAUUCAAGCGAAGCAAAUAGGCCACGGGUGAUCCAGUUUCCAAGGUGGAACUGAAGGACUUCCGAAGAGAAGAAAUCAUGAAGGAGAAAGGUGCGCAGGAUUGCCGAGGUUACCACAAAGCGUAAAUUAAGCAAAACCUCCAAGCUCAGAAAGUUUGUUUGUUGAACCCUUACUGACCUGAGACUUUCUGCGUUUGACGGACUGAGUGCUGGAAAUAAAGGUGUGUGCCAUGAUACCCAGCUAAAUCAAUCUAUACACACUUUUAAUUUGAUAUGCAUUUGAAAUUGCAGAUCACUUGUGGGGAACUAACAUAGAUACAAUGUUCAGUCUGUAAAGGAAACUUGAUUCAGAGUUUCUUCCGUGUCCUUUCAAUGGCCAGGAAUAUAGUCCCAGCACUGCAAAAACAAAAUAAA
rnacentral:sRNA from 1 species